rnacentral:rRNA from 1 species
GACGAACGCUGGCGGCGUGCUUAACACAUGCAAGUCGAACGGGAAGACCCUGCUUUUGUGGUGUGCUCGCGUGUCGAACGCGUGUGUGUCACGCGUGUAACCUGCCCCUGUCUUUGGGAUAACUUCUGGAAACUCGGGCGCAUACCCGACAUGGGCUCCCGCUGCAUGGUGGUGGUUGGGAAGAUUCGGCGGUUGGGGAUGGACUCGCGGCUAAUCAGCUUGCUUGUGGGGUAGUGUCUUGCCAAGGCUUUGACGGGUAGCCGUCCUGAGCGGGUGACCGGCGACAUUGCGACUGAGAUACGGAGCAGACGCGUACGGGAGGCAGCAGUGGGGAAUAUUGCACAAUGGGCGGAAGCCUGAUGAAGCAACGCCGCGUGCGGGAUGACGGCCUUCGGGUUAUAAACCGCUUUCGCAUGUGACGAUGCGUGAGUGACGGUAAUGGGUAAAAAAGCACCGGCUAACUACGUG